CAGCAGCCGCGGUAAUACGUAGGGUGCAAGCGUUAAUCGGAAUUACUGGGCGUAAAGCGUGCGCAGGCGGUUCGCUAAGACAGAUGUGAAAUCCCCGGGCUUAACCUGGGAACUGCAUUUGUGACUGGCGGGCUAGAGUAUGGCAGAGGGGGGUAGAAUUCCACGUGUAGCAGUGAAAUGCGUAGGGAUGUGGAGGAAUACCGAUGGCGAAGGCAGCCCCCUGGGCCAAUACUGACGCUCAUGCACGAAAGCGUGGGGAGCAAACAGGAUUAGAUACCCGCGUAGUCCCUGUCUCUUAUAC
rnacentral:rRNA from 1 species